GUUAAGUCAGAUGUGAAAGCCCCGGGGCUCAACCUCGGAACUGCAUUUGAAACUGGCAGACUAGAGUACUGUAGAGGGGGUAGAAUUUCAGGUGUAGCGGUGAAAUGCGUAGAGAUCUGAAGGAAUACCGGUGGCGAAGGCGGCCCCCUGGACAGAUACUGACACUCAGAUGCGAAAGCGUGGGGAGCAAACAGGAUUAGAUACCCCUGGUGG
rnacentral:rRNA from 1 species